AUAUUGGACAAUGGGGGAAACCCUGAUCCAGCCAUGCCGCGUGUGUGAAGAAGGCCUUCGGGUUGUAAAGCACUUUAAGUUGGGAGGAAGGUUCACUGGCUAAUACUCAGUGGAAUUGACGUUACCAACAGAAUAAGCACCGGCUAACUCCGUGCCAGCAGCCGCGGUAAUACGGAGGGUGCAAGCGUUAAUCGGAAUUACUGGGCGUAAAGCGCACGUAGGUGGCUGAGUAAGUCGGAUGUGAAAGCCCUGGGCUUAACCUGGGAAUUGCAUUCGAUACUGUUCGGCUAGAGUACGGUAGAGGGAGGUAGAAUUCCUAGUGUAGCGGUGAAAUGCGUAGAUAUUAGGAGGAAUACCGGUGGCGAAGGCGGCCUCCUGGACUGAUACUGACACUGAGGUGCGAAAGCGUGGGGAGCAAACAGG
rnacentral:rRNA from 1 species